CAAAGUGGGGGACCUUCGGGCCUCAUGCCAUCAGAUGUGCCCAGAUGGGAUUAGCUAGUAGGUGGGGUAACGGCUCACCUAGGCGACGAUCCCUAGCUGGUCUGAGAGGAUGACCAGCCACACUGGAACUGAGACACGGUCCAGACUCCUACGGGAGGCAGCAGUGGGGAAUAUUGCACAAUGGGCGCAAGCCUGAUGCAGCCAUGCCGCGUGUGUGAAGAAGGCCUCGGGUUGUAAAGCACUUUCAGCGGGGAGGAAGGCGGUGAGGUUAAUAACCUCACCGAUUGACGUUACCCGCAGAAGAAGCACCGGCUAACUCCGUGCC
rnacentral:rRNA from 1 species